CUUACCCUUAGGACUGGGAUAACUCUGGGAAACUGGGGAUAAUACCGGAUAUUAGGCUAUGGCUGGAAUGCUUUGCCUUUGAAAUGUUUCUUGUAUUCGCCUAAGGAUAGAUCUGCGGCUGAUUAGGUCGUUGGUGGGGUAAUGGCCCACCAAGCCUAUGAUCGGUACGGGUUGUGAGAGCAAGAGCCCGGAGAUGGAACCUGAGACAAGGUUCCAGACCCUACGGGGUGCAGCAGGCGCGAAACCUCCGCAAUGUACGAAAGUGCGACGGGGGGAUCCCAAGUGUUAUUCUUAAUAGGAUAACUUUUCAUUAGUGUAAAAAGCUUUUAGAAUAAGAGCUGGGCAAGACCGGUGCCAGCCGCCGCGGUAACACCGGCAGCUCAAGUGGUAGCUGUUUUUAUUGGGCCUAAA
rnacentral:rRNA from 1 species